rfam:Myotis davidii contig31881, whole genome shotgun sequence.
GGCGGUUCUCAGGUAAUGCACCCCAGAAUUAGGUUCCCUCCUCUCUGGUUCCAGGUUCCUCACCCAAGAACCACA